AAGCACUUGGUUUUCAGCAAUGGCUUCUUCAGUAAUGUCCUCAGCAGCUGUUGCCACCCGCGGCAAUGGUGCACAAGCUAGCAUGGUUGCACCCUUCACUGGACUCAAGUCCACCGCUUCUUUCCCUGUUUCAAAGAAGCAAAACCUUGACAUUACCUCCAUUGCUAGCAACGGUGGAAGAGUCAGUUGCAUGCAGGUGUGGCCACCAAUUAACAUGAAGAAGUACGAGACUCUGUCGUACCUUCCUGAUUUGUCCGACGAGCAAUUGCUCAG
rnacentral:misc_RNA from 1 species